GAUGAACGCUGACAGAAUGCUUAACACAUGCAAGUCUACUUGAACUUCGGUUUGGGUGGCGGACGGGUGAGUAACGCGUAAAGAACCUGCCUCACAGUUAGGGACAACAUUUGGAAACGAAUGCUAAUACCUGAUAUUAUGAUUUUAGGGCAUCCUAAGAUUAUGAAAGCUAUAUGCGCUGUGAGAGAGCUUUGCGUCCCAUUAGCUAGUUGGAGAGGUAACGGCUCACCAAGGCGAUGAUGGGUAGCCGGCCUGAGAGGGUGAACGGCCACAAGGGGACUGAGACACGGCCCUUACUCCUACGGGAGGCAGCAGUGGGGAAUAUUGGACAAUGGACCAAAAGUCUGAUCCAGCAAUUCUGUGUGCACGAUGACGUUUUUCGGAAUGUAAAGUGCUUUCAGUUGGGAAGAAAAAAAUGACGGUACCAACAGAAGAAGUGACGGCUAAAUACGUGCCAGCAGCCGCGGUAAUACGUAUGUCACGAGCGUUAUCCGGAUUUAUUGGGCGUAAAGCGCGUCUAGGUGGUUAUGUAAGUCUGAUGUGAAAAUGCAGGGCUCAACUCUGUAUUGCGUUGGAAACUGCAUGACUAGAGUACUGGAGAGGUAAGCGGAACUACAAGUGUAGAGGUGAAAUUCGUAGAUAUUUGUAGGAAUGCCGAUGGGGAAGCCAGCUUACUGGACAGAUACUGACGCUAAGCGCGAAAGCGUGGGUAGCAAACAGG
rnacentral:rRNA from 1 species